GUGCUUGCUUGGGCAACAUAUACUGAUACAGAGAAGCAAUACAGAGAAGAUUAGCACGGCCCUGUGCCAGGAUGACAGGCAAAUUCAUGAAAUGGUCCAGUAUUUU